CCUACGGGUGGCAGCAGUGAGGAAUAUUGGUCAAUGGACGCAAGUCUGAACCAGCCAUGCCGCGUGCAGGAAGACGGCUCUAUGAGUUGUAAACUGCUUUUGUACGAGGGUAAACGCAGAUACGCGUAUCUGUCUGAAAGUAUCGUACGAAUAAGGAUCGGCUAACUCCGGGCCAGCAGCCGCGGUAAUACGGAGGUUUCAAGCGUUAUCCGGAUUUAUUGGGUUUAAAGGGUGCGUAGGCGGUCGGAUAAGUUAGAGGUGAAAUCCCGAGGCUCAACUUCGGAAUUGCCUCUGAUACUGUUCGGCGAGAGAGUAGUUGCGGUAGGCGGAAUGUAUGGUGUAGCGGUGAAAUGCUUAGAGAUCAUACAGAACACCGGUUGCGAAGGCAGCUUACCAGGCUACUUCUGACGUUGAGGCACGAAAGCGUGGGGAGCAAACAGGAUUAGAUACCCGGGUAGUC
rnacentral:rRNA from 1 species